rnacentral:rRNA from 1 species
AGCUACACAUGCAAGUCGAACGGCAGCACAGUAAGAGCUUGCUCCUUAUGGGUGGCGAGUGGCGGACGGGUGAGGAAUACAUCGGAAUUCUACCUUUCUCGUGGGGGAUAACGUAGGGAAACUUACGCUAAUACCGCAUACGACCUUCGGGUGAAAGCAGGGGACCUUCGGGCCUUGCGCGGAUAGAUGAGCCGAUGUCGGAUUAGCUAGUUGGCGGGGUAAAGGCCCACCAAGGCGACGAUCCGUAGCUGGUCUGAGAGGAUGAUCAGCCACACUGGAACUGAGACACGGUCCAGACUCCUACGGGAGGCAGCAGUGGGGAAUAUUGGACAAUGGGCGCAAGCCUGAUCCAGCCAUACCGCGUGGGUGAAGAAGGCCUUCGGGUUGUAAAGCCCUUUUGUUGGGAAAGAAAAGCAAUCGAUUAAUACUCGGUUGUUCUGACGGUACCCAAAGAAUAAGCACCGGCUAACUUCGUGCCAGCAGCCGCGGUAAUACGAAGGGUGCAAGCGUUACUCGGAAUUACUGGGCGUAAAGCGUGCGUAGGUGGUUGUUUAAGUCUGUUGUGAAAGCCCUGGGCUCAACCUGGGAAUUGCAGUGGAUACUGGGCGACUAGAGUGUGGUAGAGGGUAGUGGAAUUCCCGGUGUAGCAGUGAAAUGCGUAGAGAUCGGGAGGAACAUCCAUGGCGAAGGCAGCUACCUGGACCAACACUGACACUGAGGCACGAAAGCGUGGGGAGCAACAGGAAACCC